AGCAGCAGCACUUUCUGCACUGGUAACUCAAAUGGAUUUCUCCGUUGCAAAGGACAGGACUAAAUUAUAACUACUGCAGAUGAAAGAUGUGAGAAAGGAUGAACUGCUGGGCCUCUUCUCUUCUCCUGGGUCUACUCAUCAUCCCUGUAACUUUGGAUUUUACUUCGGGUUCUUGUGAUGGAUACACCAACAUAACUGAACCAUGGCGCAACCAAGACUUUAAAUCACUUCCCUCC